UACGUAGGGACCAAGCGUUGUUCGGAUUUACUGGGCGUAAAGGGCGCGUAGGCGGCUUGACAAGUCACUUGUGAAAUCUCCGGGCUUAACUCGGAACGGCCAAGUGAAACUGUCAUGCUAGAGUGCAGAGGGGGCAAUCGGAAUUCUUGGUGUAGCGGUGAAAUGCGUAGAUAUCAAGAGGAACACCUGAGGUGAAGACGGGUUGCUGGGCUGACACUGACGCUGAGGCGCGAAAGCCAGGGGAGCAAACGGG
rnacentral:rRNA from 1 species